UACGUAGGGUGCAAGCGUUAAUCGGAAUUACUGGGCGUAAAGCGUGCGCAGGCGGUCUGUUAAGUCCGAUGUGAAAUCCCCGGGCUUAACCUGGGAACUGCAUUGGUGACUGGCAGGCUUUGAGUGUGGCAGAGGGAGGUAGAAUUCCACGUGUAGCAGUGAAAUGCGUAGAGAUGUGGAGGAAUACCGAUGGCGAAGGCAGCCUCCUGGGCCAACACUGACGCUCAUGCACGAAAGCGUGGGGAGCAAACAGG
rnacentral:rRNA from 1 species